rnacentral:tRNA from 1 species
UAAUGGCCGUGGAGGCUCCUCCUUUCUCGUCCUAGGAGAACCGGAGCUCCGCGGCCAUUAU